UGGGGAAUAUUGCACAAUGGGCGCAAGCCUGAUGCAGCGACGCCGCGUGAGGGAUGACGGCCUUCGGGUUGUAAACCUCUUUCAAUAGGGACGAAGCGCAAGUGACGGUACCUAUAGAAGAAGGACCGGCCAACUACGUGCCAGCAGCCGCGGUAAUACGUGAGGGUCCGAGCGUUGUCCGGAAUUACUGGGCGUAAAGAGCUCGUAGGUGGUUUGUCGCGUUGUUCGUGAAAACUCACAGCUUAACUGUGGGCGUGCGGGCGAUACGGGCAGACUAGAGUACUGCAGGGGAGACUGGAAUUCCUGGUGUAGCGGUGGAAUGCGCAGAUAUCAGGAGGAACACCGGUGGCGAAGGCGGGUCUCUGGGCAGUAACUGACGCUGAGGAGCGAAAGCGUGGGGAGCGAACAGGAUUAGAUACCCUGGUAGUCCACGCCGUAAACGGUGGGUACUAGGUGUGGGUUUCCUUCCUUGGGAUCCGUGCCGUAGCUAACGCAUUAAGUACCCCGCCUGGGGAGUACGGCCGCAAGGCUAAAACUUAAAUGAAUUGACGGGGUCAAGCUG
rnacentral:rRNA from 1 species